rnacentral:rRNA from 1 species
AUAUUGGACAAUGGGGGCAACCCUGAUCCAGCCAUGCCGCGUGUGUGAAGAAGGUCUUCGGAUUGUAAAGCACUUUAAGUUGGGAGGAAGGGCUUUGGGUUAAUACCCUUAGGUUUUGACGUCACCAUCACAUUCAGCACCGCCAAACGCUGUGCCAGAAGCCGCGGUAACACAGAGGGUGCAAGCGUUAACCGGAAUUACUGGGUGAAAAGCGCGGGUAGGUGGUUCAGUAAGAUGGGUGUGAACUCCCCGGGCUUAACCUGGGAACUGCUUUCAUAACUGCUGAGCUAGAGUACGGUAGAGGGUAGUGGAAUUUCCUGUGUAGCGGUGAAAUGCGUAGAUAUAGGAAGGAACACCAGUGGCGAAGGCGACUACCUGGACUGAUACUGACACUGAGGUGCGAAAGCGUGGGGAGCAAAC